rnacentral:rRNA from 1 species
AUACGUGGCACACGGCUCAGUAACACGUAGUCAACAUGCCCAGAGGACGUGGAUAACCUCGGGAAACUGAGGAUAAACCGCGAUAGGCCAUAAUUACUGGAAUGUGUUAUGGCUUAAACCUAUAUGGCCUCUGGAUUGGACUGCGGCCGAUCAGGCUGUUGGUGAGGUAAUGGCCCACCAAACCUGUUACCGGUACGGGCUCUGAGAGGAGGAGCCCGGAGAUGGGCACUGAGACAAGGGCCCAGGCCCUAUGGGGCGCAGCAGGCGCGAAACCUCUGCAAUAGGCGAAAGCCUGACAGGGUUACUCUGAGUGAUUCCCGCUAAGGGGAUCUUUUGGCACCUCUAAAAAUGGUGCAGAAUAAGGGGUGGGCAAGUCUGGUGUCAGCCGCCGCGGUAAUACCAGCACCCCGAGUGGUCGGGACGAUUAUUGGGCCUAAAGCAUCCGUAGCCGGUCAUGCAAGUCCUCCGUUAAAUCCACCUGCUUAACAGAUGGGCUGCGGAGGAUACUACAAGGCUAGGAGGCGGAAGAGGCAAGCGGUACUCAGUGGGUAGGGGUAAAAUCCUCUGAUCCAUUGAAGACCACCAGUGGCGAAGGCGGCUUGCCAAUACGCGCUCGACGGUGAGGGAUGAAAGCUGGGGGAGCAAACCGGAUUAGAUACCCGGGUAGUCCCAGCUGUAAACGAUGCAGACUCGGUGAUGGGCCGGCUUUAU